CGACCUGCACGAAUGGUGUAACGACUUGGGCACUGUCUCGGCCAUGAGCUCGGUGAAAUUGUAGUCGCGGUGAAGAUGCCGCGUACCCGCAACGGGACGGAAAGACCCCAUGAACCUUUACUAUAGCUUCACAUUGGUAUUGGGUAAAUGAUGUGUAGGAUAGCUGGGAGGCUUUGAAGCUGCGUCGCUAGGCGUGGUGGAGCCGUUGGUGAAAUACCAGCCUUUAUUUAUCUGAUGCCUAAUCCCGCCAAUGGCGGGAGACAUUGUGUGGUGGGUAGUUUGACUGGGGUGGUCGCCUCCAAAAGAGUAACGGAGGCUUUCAAAGGUACCCUCAGCACGCUUGGUAACCGUGCGUAGAGCGCAAUAGCAUAAGGGUGCUUGACUGUGAGACUAACAAGUCGAUCAGGGUCGAAAGACGGAUAUAGUGAUCCGGUGGUUCUGUAUGGAAGGGCCAUCGCUCAACGGAUAAAAGGUACUCCGGGGAUAACAGGCUGAUACCGCCCAAGAGUUCAUAUCGACGGCGGUGUUUGGCACCUCGAUGUCGGCUCAUCGCAUCCUGGGGCUGGAGAAGGUCCCAAGGGUUGGGCUGUUCGCCCAUUAAAGUGGCACGCGAGCUGGGUUCAGAACGUCGCGAGACAGUUCGGUCUCUAUCUACAGUGGGCGUUAGAGAUUUGAGUGGACCUGCUUCUAGUACGAGAGGACCGAAGCGGA
rnacentral:rRNA from 1 species